rnacentral:tRNA from 1 species
GUGGGUGCGCCCGAGUUGGAGAGCGGGGCUUGACUGUAAAUCAAGUGCUUUUGCUGAGUGAGUUCGAAUCUCACCACUCACACCA